AUGAACGCUGGCGGCGUGCCUAAUACAUGCAAGUCGAGCGAACAGACGAGGAGCUUGCUCCUCUGACGUUAGCGGCGGACGGGUGAGUAACACGUGGAUAACCUACCUAUACGACUGGGAUAACUUCGGGAAACCGGAGCUAAUACCGGAUAAUAUAUUGAACCGCAUGGUUCAAUAGUGAAAGACGGUUUUGCUGUCACUUAUAGAUGGAUCCGCGCCGCAUUAGCUAGUUGGUAAGGUAACGGCUUACCAAGGCAACGAUGCGUAGCCGACCUGAGAGGGUGAUCGGCCACACUGGAACUGAGACACGGUCCAGACUCCUACGGGAGGCAGCAGUAGGGAAUCUUCCGCAAUGGGCGAAAGCCUGACGGAGCAACGCCGCGUGAGUGAUGAAGGUCUUCGGAUCGUAAAACUCUGUUAUUAGGGAAGAACAAAUGUGUAAGUAACUAUGCACGUCUUGACGGUACCUAAUCAGAAAGCCACGGCUAACUACGUG
rnacentral:rRNA from 1 species